rnacentral:rRNA from 1 species
UGAGGAAUAUUGCACAAUGGGCGGAAGCCUGAUGCAGCAACGCCGCGUGAGGGACGAAGGCCUUCGGGUCGUAAACCUCUUUUCUGAGGGAAGAGACAAGGACGGUACCUCAGGAAUAAGUCUCGGCUAACUACGUGCCAGCAGCCGCGGUAAAACGUAGGAGGCGAGCGUUAUCCGGAAUUACUGGGCGUAAAGGGCAUGCAGGCGGCUUGGUAAGUUGGACGUGAAAGCUCCUGGCUUAACUGGGAGAGUGCGUUCGAAACUGCUGAGCUUGAGGCUGGGAGAGGGGUGUGGAAUUCCCGGUGUAGUGGUGGAAUGCGUAGAUAUCGGGAGGAACACCAGUGGCGGAAGCGGCACCCGUAGACCAGGACCUGACGCUGAUAUGCGAAAGCUGGGGAG